UUUCUCUCCCCUUCCUCAAAUUCUAGAGCAGCAGCUUUGCUAGGGCACAAGUUUUUGUCUCCUCAAGUUAGCGAAUCUUCUUUGUUUGGAGUUGCCUGAACUCGUAUCUCCAACUCCUUAAUCUGUUUCUGGAGUUGUGAUGCUCUCUUUGGGGUCCUGUUUCGUUUGGCUAAGCUUGAGUAAGAUGUGGAAACCCCUGGAGGUACUCAGGGUGGUGGAGAUGCUGCUGUGUAGAGUGGUCCCCAUGGUUUGGGUUGUGGCUUACAUUUGAGACUUUUGAAGAACUCUUAGUUUGUUUUAAAUUCCUUGCUCUCUAAACAAUACUUUUGCAAAACAAUAGUACUCUUGUGUUAUG